rnacentral:rRNA from 1 species
UACAGAGGUCUCAAGCGUUGUUCGGAUUCAUUGGGCGUAAAGGGUGCGUAGGCGGCGCGGUAAGUCGGGUGUGAAAUCUCGGAGCUUAACUCCGAAACUGCACUUGAUACUGCGGUGCUUGAGGACUGGAGAGGAGAUCGGAAUUCAUGGUGUAGCAGUGAAAUGCGUAGAUAUCAUGAGGAAGACCAGUGGCGAAGGCGGAUCUCUGGACAGUUCCUGACACUGAGGCACGAAGGCCAGGGGAGCAAACGGG